ACACGUGGGUAACCUGCCUUAUAGUGGGGGAUAGCCUUUCGAAAGAAAGAUUAAUACCGCAUAAGAUUGUAGUAUCGCAUGAUAUAGCAAUUAAAGGAGCAAUUCGCUAUAAGAUGGACCCGCGUCGCAUUAGCUAGUUGGUGAGGUAAUGGCUCACCAAGGCGACGAUGCGUAGCCGACCUGAGAGGGUGAUCGGCCACAUUGGGACUGAGACACGGCCCAGACUCCUACGGGAGGCAGCAUG
rnacentral:rRNA from 1 species